rnacentral:lncRNA from 1 species
UAACACCAAAUGACCCCUAGGCUACCCUCACCCAUGUAUCAUGUUUGGUUCUUCUCGAAUCUGACCAGAAAUGGUUAAAUCCCAAAUCGAAUUUUUAAGAACCCUAAAAAUACCAAACUUUCGGAUUCUGUUCAGAUUAAGUAAUGAUUGAGGUUCAAUCGACCUUAGUCGAAGUAUUUUCAGUGGAAAAUACUUCGACUAAGGUCUGUUUGAUUUCAAACAAAAAUCCAAAUCCAAGUUGAGUUCGAGUCGGAUUAAAAUUGAAGAUUCAAAGGUAUUUUUUUCUAUUUCUGUUUGUGAUAUUCUGUAUGUAUUUUCGUUUGUUUAAUAACUUGUGGAUUUUUCAUAUUUUUGUUUUGAUUAGUUUUGUUAUAUUGUUCCCUACCCGUCUACUUGAUUUCUAAAGUGAAAUGUUUCUGUUGGUUAUGAUUGUUGACAAUGUGUGUAAUCGACUCGAUUAAGUUCGUCGAUUAGUUAUAUUACGAAUUUUCAUUUCUGAAAAUGCUGACUAAAACAGUCUGCUUCUAUUGUUUUAGACUAAUUAUUGACAAAUGUUGUAAAUAGUCAACUGAUUAAUACUCGUCAAUUAAAUCAUGUUUGUUUGUGAAUCAGUGAAUUCAAAUGUAUGCUGUAUAUGUUGUUUUCUGAACAGGGCAUUGUCAGUAUAUUGACAAUGCUCCUGUGUAUGUUUGAUCUUAGUUCAAUUAUAAGUUCAGUUUGCAUUAUUAUGCUGAACUCAGUGUAAUAUUGUCAAGUUUGAGUUCAAAUUUACAAAUAAUGAUUAGAUGUAAUUGUGAUAGAAUGUUUACAUUCUUAGGAUUCAGUCCAGAACCUAAGAGAAUUGGUUAUAGCUGUGUUAAAUCAGGUUGAUAAAUAAGUUUGAACAGAUCUUUAAAUCUGUUUUGUAAAUUCUGUUACGAUUUUGCAUUUAAGGCAGUAAUAAUAGUGAUCACAGUAGUAUUUCUGGGAUAAAAGCAGUAGGGUAAUUUGAUAAUAAUAGAGGGCUGAAAGUGGUAUGUUAAUGGCUAUUAGUUAAUGAUACUAAUGGGGAACAAAGGGUAAUGGGGCUGCUUAAAAUCAGGAUAGGAUCAUUUAAUUUAUUCAAAAGCAGUUUUAAUGGAACUUUUUGAUUUUAAAAGAAGAAGGGAGUCCAAGAAGCACUUAAAAAGAUAAAGACCAGCCCUGUAUAAAUACAGGGAGCUGGACAGCUUAAAAGGGGCAGACUUUAAGAGAUUUUUGGAGGAGAAAAAAUCUGAAAAGGCAGAUUUUGAGAGAAAAACAGAAAUCUGAGAAGAAAGAAAAAUAGUAAAGGAAACAGAAAAUAGAACACUCACACACACACUCACACACAGAUACAGCAGCAGAAACAGAAAAUCAGAAAAAAGGGGAAUUUGAAACUGAAAAGAAACUGAAAUCUGAAAUGUUGUUCUUUUGUUGAAUCUGUUCAACUUUAUGUGAUUCCACUAUUCAGUUAAAAUCUGAAGUGUCUUUUAAAAUACUGUAUUGUGCAUCUGGUUUCCUCGGGUCGUAUUAUCGCUCAAAUCUGUGGAAAUACUGCUAUUCUAUUGAAUUUGUUACUGCUGCUACUACUGAAAUUUACUCCUUAUACCUCCAUUUCCAGGUACAUAUCUUCUUAAAUUCUAUGUUGGAAAGAGAUUCGGCAUGAUAAAUCAAUGAAGUUUGAGUUGCAGUUCUAUUUUUCCAUUUAUCUAAGUUUGUUAUUAUAAAUUUCAAUUUUGUUUCAUGUUAUUUCAUAUAGAGGUAUGCUGGACAUGUUAAUUAUCAGUUGAUCAUUUUCCUUUGAAAUUCAUACAAGUAUUGUAAUAAUUUUAUCUAUUCCAGAAUUUCAUUAAGGUAUAGUUAUGGUUGAAUUGUUAAGAUAGAGAGUAUGGCAUGAGGUUGGUUAUUAAUUAAGUCUUACGACAUUGUUAGACAGGUAUAAAGUAGUCCGGGAAUAUAAAGAAAUGAGUGGUUAGUGUAUUUCGAUUGUUUGGUUGUGGAUU